UACGAAGGGGGCGAGCGUUGUUCGGAUUUACUGGGCGUAAAGGGCGCGCAGGCGGUCGUGUUUGUCGAGUGUGAAAGCCCCGGGCUCAACCUGGGAAUUGCGCCCGAAACGGCACGGCUAGAGUUCGGGAGAGGAGAGUGGAAUUCCCAGUGUAGAGGUGAAAUUCGUAGAUAUUGGGAAGAACACCAGUGGCGAAGGCGGCUCUCUGGGACGGUACUGACGCUGAGACGCGAAAGCGUGGGGAGCGAACAGG
rnacentral:misc_RNA from 1 species